rnacentral:rRNA from 1 species
UACAGAGGCCCCAAGCGUUAUCCGGAAUCACUGGGCGUAAAGGGUGUGUAGGUGGUUCUAUUAGUCUUCUGUGAAAGCACCGGGCUUAACCCGGGACACGCAGAAGAAACGGUAGAACUAGAGGGUGUGAGAGGUGUACAGAACUCAUGGUGUAGGGGUGAAAUCCGUUGAUAUCAUGGGGAAUACCAAAUGCGAAGGCAGUACACUGGCACAUUCCUGACACUGAGACACGAAAGCGUGGGUAGCGAAUGGG